rnacentral:lncRNA from 1 species
AGAUUCUCCCUCUUUCUUUCUUUUUCUACCUACCUUGAAAAGAAAAUCGACAAAAAUGGCAGCCACAAAACCACCCAAAAACUUUCUGAAAUUUACCUUUCCUAUAAGUUUCUUAAUCAUGGUUUUGUCCUUUGGAGAUGGCUUAUUCGAGAAAACAAGAUUGGGAGAAGUGGAAUGUUUCCAUUUUUCUUUGUAAGGUCCAACUCUUGCCACUUUGAACAUUGCGGUUUAGAAUGCUCGAUCUGCUGUUGUGAUAAAGAGGAGUUGUGAAGACGAGAGAAAACUGGAAUGAUGUUUAAUAACUCUAACUAGAACCAUCUGCCUUUUCUCAAAUUUCACCUAUGUCCCAAUAUCAACCUUUUUCUGUGAGACUUCAAUUUCUUCCAGCCAGUUUCCUCCAACGAAACAACCACAACACCUUACCCAAAAACGCACCAAUGUCAAAACAAAAGCCUCGACUUUUUUCAAAAAAAGAUAUAAAAAAUCACUGUCUACACCACUGGGGAUUGAUUUUUUAGUUAGUUUUCAAGGAGCCAAGUCAAGCGAGGUCUUUGGCGAGUUCUUUGGUCGCGAUUUCCGGUCAGGUACUAAGAAAGAAAGAGAAAAAUAGUAAAGAAAUAAAGAAAAUAAUGGACUGGGUCAAACAAAUGGGAUAGAUAUAUUAUACCCAUAUGUAUGAAGUGAAA